rnacentral:lncRNA from 1 species
CUCUCUGCGGAAGCCAGCCACCGCUCUCCAAGGACUCUCGAGCAGCUCCAUCUACAGAUUCACAUGGAGAAGAAUUAAGGGUUCCUGCCAAUCACCAGCACCACUUUGCCAGCCUUGUAAGUGGGCCACCUUGGAAUUGGAGCCUCCAGUUCCUACUGACAUCUGACUGCAACAUCAUGAGAGACCCUGAGUUUGAACCACCCAGCUGAGCUGCUUCUGAGCUAACCCACUGAAACCAGUCUUGCUCUGUCACCCAGGCUAGAGUGCAAUGGCAUAAUCUCAGCUCACUGCAACAUCUGCCUCCCAGGUUCAAGCAAUUCUCCUGCCUCAGCCUCCCAAGAAGGUGAAAGUACCUGAAUGAAACAACACCCAGUAGCCACUAGCACACCUAGCUCCCAGAUCUGUUUUUGAUGCCAUUCUUCAGUAAAAGGAAGCAAGGCUGCUUGGAGAAAUUGCUAUCAAGGACUGGGGUAGAAAAUAUACAAGAUGAAAUUGGAGCAUCUUGUAGUGCUUGAAAACAGUUGGCAUCUGUGUGAAGAUGUGAAUGGAGGAGGCAGAGUAGGCAGUGAGUGCCGCAGCCACAGCUUGUGUUCUCUGCAGCCCUGGCACAGAAGAUAGGAACACUCAUGGGGGAUGCGGCCACUGUGAUGUCUUCCCACACAAGAAGUGCCAAGUGCUUUUCUCAUGCUUUUCUGGAUUGUCCCAUGGUGGACGAGUCAGCAGGAGUGAGAUGGAGCAGCACAGUAGAGGGGCCAGGAUAUCGUUGUACAUAUUCUCAGCUAAGUGAGCACCAAUAGAGGAGAGGGAGAGUCUCAUGGAAGUUCCUUCUAAGCCUUUGGCUCUUUUUACCUUCAACAAGGUUCCUUAGAUCCUGGGAUGAGGAGGUGGACCAGCAGAAGGUGGGCUUGUGAAGGCAGCCCGGGGUCCAAAUCCUCCUGGCUCUUCAGCUUAGCGGGAUGUCACCUUCAGCGUCUGAAAGCUGGGUUUGAUGCGUCUGGAAAGGCGUCCCUGACAGGCGUCGUUGCCAGGAGCCCCUAGUGCCACCAGCAGCCAGCAGGGGAGGGCGUCCUCUGCCCGCUCACUUCUGACCCUUCUCUCGUUGCACCCGGAACAUGGUGCAGCUGGGAGCAGCCUGGGCUGCGCGGAAGGCUCAGAUUUGGGGACGGCCCUUGCCAGUGACUGUGAGCUGGGGUGUCUUGGAAACUCCCAGUCUCAGCUUCUCCAUUUAUAAGAUGAGAAUGAUCAUACCAGACUCAGGCAAGGUUGUUUGUGCAUUAGUGAAAUCAGACGUAUUAAAUAAAGUACCACAUUGAUC